rnacentral:rRNA from 1 species
UGGGGAAUAUUGCACAAUGGGCGCAAGCCUGAUGCAGCCAUGCCGCGUGUAUGAAGAAGGCCUUCGGGUUGUAAAGUACUUUCAGCGGGGAGGAAGGGAGUAAAGUUAAUACCUUUGCUCAUUGACGUUACCCGCAGAAGAAGCACCGGCUAACUCCGUGCCAGCAGCCGCGGUAAUACGGAGGGUGCAAGCGUUAAUCGGAAUUACUGGGCUUAAAGCGCACGCAGGCGGUUUGUUAAGUCAGAUGUGAAAUCCCCGGGCUCAACCUGGGAACUGCAUCUGAUACUGGCAAGCUUGAGUCUCGUAGAGGGGGGUAGAAUUCCAGGUGUAGCGGUGCAAUGCGUAGAGAUCUGGAGGAAUACCGGUGGCGAAGACGGCCCCCUGGACGAAGACUGACGCUCAGGUGCGAAAGCGUGGGGAGCAAACAGG